GACGAACGCUGGCGGCGUGCUUAACACAUGCAAGUCGAACGGAAAGGCCCCUUUGGGGGUACUCGAGUGGCGAACGGGUGAGUAACACGUGAGUAACCUGCCCUUGACUUCGGGAUAACUUCAGGAAACUGGGGCUAAUACCGGAUAGGAAUCCUUGCUGCAUGGUGGGGGUUGGAAAGCUUCGGCGGUUUUGGAUGGACUCGCGGCUUAUCAGCUUGUUGGUGGGGUAGUGGCUUACCAAGGCUUUGACGGGUAGCCGGCCUGAGAGGGCGACCGGCCACAUAGGGACUGAGGUACGGCCCAGACACCUACGGGAGGCAGCAGUGGGGAAUAUUGCACAAUGGGCGGAAGCCUGAUGCAGCAACGCCGCGUGCGGGAUGACGGCCUUCGGGUUGUAAACCGCUUUCAGCAGGGGCGAAGCUUGUGGUGACGGUACCUGCAGAAGAAGCACCGGCUAACUACGUG
rnacentral:rRNA from 1 species